rnacentral:tRNA from 1 species
GUCCGGAUAUGGCUCAGUGAUCAGAGUGUUAGACUCGUAAUUUGAAGGCACGGGUUCGAAUCGUGGACU